rnacentral:rRNA from 1 species
UACAGAGGUCUCAAGCGUUGUUCGGAUUCAUUGGGCGUAAAGGGUGUGUAGGUGGCGCCGUAAGUCGGGUGUGAAAUUUCGGAGCUUAACUCCGAAACUGCAUUCGAUACUGCGGUGCUUGAGGACUGGAGAGGAGACUGGAAUUCAUGGUGUAGCAGUGAAAUGCGUAGAGAUCAUGAGGAAGACCAGUGGCGAAGGCGGGUCUCUGGACAGUUCCUGACACUGAGGAGCGAAAGCGUGGGGAGCGAACAGG